AUUGAACGCUGGCGGCAUGCUUUACACAUGCAAGUCGAACGGUAACAGGUUAAGCUGACGAGUGGCGAACGGGUGAGUAAUGCAUCGGAACGUGCCCGGUCGUGGGGGAUAACACUUCGAAAGAAGUGCUAAUACCGCAUACGAUCUGAGGAUGAAAGCGGGGGACCGUAAGGCCUCGCGCGAUCGGAGUGGCCGAUGUCAGAUUAGGUAGUUGGUGGGGUAAAGGCUCACCAAGCCGACGAUCUGUAGCUGGUCUGAGAGGACGACCAGCCACACUGGGACUGAGAAACGGCCCAGACUCCUACGGGAGGCAGCAGUGGGGAAUUUUGGACAAUGGGCGCAAGCCUGAUCCAGCAAUGCCGCGUGCAGGAAGAAGGCCUUCGGGUUGUAAACUGCUUUUGUACGGAGCGAAAAGGCUCUCUCUAAUACAGGGGGCUCAUGACGGUACCGUAAGAAUAAGCACCGGCUAACUACGUGCCAGCAGCCGCCGUAACAC
rnacentral:rRNA from 1 species